rnacentral:tRNA from 1 species
CGCAUGCUCGCGAGAGAGCCGGAAGCGCGCGUGCUCAUUUUCAGCGUGCACGAAGAGACGCUUUUCGUGCGACGCGCGUUCGAUGCGGGCGCCUGCGG